rnacentral:rRNA from 1 species
UUGGCCUACGGGGGGCAGCAGUAGGGAAUCUUCCACAAUGGGCGAAAGCCUGAUGGAGCAACGCCGCGUGGGUGAAGAAGGUCUUCGGAUCGUAAAACCCUGUUGUUAGAGAAGAAAGUGCGUGAGAGUAACUGUUCACGUUUCGACGGUAUCUAGCCAGAAAGCCACGGCUAACUACGCGCCAGCAGCCGCGGAAUACGUAGGUGGCAAGCGUUAUCCGGAUUUAUUGGGCGUAAAGGGAACGCAGGCGGGCUUUUUAGUCUGAU